GUACGCUCGACUAGGUAUCAGUCAUGGCAUGUAUAAAGCAAGAGUACCAGUAUUGUCAGUAGCACUCUUGACCCGUUCGAGGAUCGCUUGGUCGUCAUCAGGAUCAUAACCGUUGUCGUGUCACCAUCUUGUUACCCAUGUCAGCUGUAAGCAGACAGACUGCGCAAGACGAACGGAGGGAUGUAGCAAUGAUGCCCGUACCCCUCAAUGAAUGGAAGAAUGCGGCAGCGGGUGACAAUGCGUUUACCAGUACUCAGCUCGUACAAAUUCAACAUCAGCCAGACGACAGCUGAAAUUCAUUCAUUCAUUCAUACGGGAGUGAAGUCCAACAGUCUUCAUGCGGACAACAACAAUGAUGACGGUCAUGAUGGCAGUGGAGGUGGUGAAGCCACCGUUGUUUACGCAGCAAUAACUGAAGCACUACGUAGUAAAUAACUGUUGCGAGUUAGUGUAAAUAAAGUUCGUAGCAGCAAAUUACUCGACUACCUCACUUGAAUCUUAUCGUAACGAUUACAAUAUCGUAACAAUAAACUACUACAAACUAAUUACAAAUACUUUCAGGCUGCUAGCUGCCGAACCAAUGGCUUAUAACAAUUAAAUUUUUGGCAGAUAGACAAACUACAAUAGCAGCAGCAGCAGCAGCAGCAGCAGUGACAGAGCUGCCAUGAUCUGCUUCACAGUCGGGGCGUUGCGGCAUUGACAUCGGCGAACUUGAAGCCGCAGCUGAUGACAUUAUUAGUAUUGGUGUCGUUGUUCAGUCGACGUGGCUGCUGCUAUUGCUGCAGCUUCGUCAAUGGUGGCUGUCGCAUCGAUAAUGUAAGCCAUAGCUACUAACGUCGUGUCGUGAUAUUUUUUGCCACUGCUGCAGUGUGCGUUUCUGCGUUACGCUAUUUCACCAGCUGCUGCUGCUCCUCCUCCUAUAACAGCAGCAGCAGCAGCAGCAGCAAAAGUACGUCCGCUUUUACU